AGAGUUUGAUCCUGGCUCAAAAUGAACGCUGGCGGCGUGCUUAACACAUGCAAGUCCAGCGAGAAAGUUCCCUUCGGGGGACGAGUAAAGCGGCCAACGGGUGAGUAACACGUGGGCAACCUACCUGGGAGCGGGGGAUAACCUGGGGAAACUCGGGCUAAUACCGCAUACUUCUUCCAGAUUUCAAUUUCGAAGGGAAAGCUGGCCAAUACAUGUAAGCUGGCACUCCCAGAGGGGCCCGCGCUCGAUUAGCUUGAUGGUGAGGUAACGGCUCACCAUGGCGACGAUCGAUAGCCGGCCUGAGAGGGUGAUCGGCCACACUGGGACUGACACACGGCCCAGACUCCUACGGGAGGCAGCAGUGGGGAAUAUUGGACAAUGGGGGAAACCCUGAUCCAGGUUGCCGCGUGGAGGACGAAGGCCUUCGGGUCGUAAACUCCUGUCAGAUGGGACGAAAAGGCGUCCUUAAACAGGCGGCGUCCAUGACGGUACCACCUUAGGAAGCCCCGGCUAACUCCGUGCCAGCAGGCCGCGGGUAAUUACGGGAGGGGGGCGAAGCKUUAUUCSGAAAUUACUGGGCGUAWWGGGGCGUGCASKCGRCCUSGYUAAGUYGAAAGUGAWAUCCCUCKGCUCAYCCGAGGRASUGCUUUCKAAACUGCUUGGCUAGAGACUGRGAGGGGGCAGUGGAAUUCCCUGSUGUAGCGGUGAWAUGCGUAGAURUCKGCAGGRACACCAKUGGCGUAKGCGACUGCCUGGACCAGUUYUGACGYUGARACRCGAAAGCGUGGGAGAGCAAWYAGGAUUAGAUAKCUYYGYMGUCACKCUGUMAAYGCUSGGCWCUCGAUGRCRYKGSUAUYGACCCAUGCKGUGUCCWAGYUAACGCGAUMAGUGGCMGUGCUCUGGGGAGUACGGUCGCRASGCUGAMACUCAAMGGAWUYGACSGGSGCCCGCACAUUWGCKGUGCAGCAWGUGCGUUUAAUUGGAUGCAACGUGAAGAACCUUACCUGGGCUUGAACUAUAGUGGCCGGCCUGUGAUAUCAGGCUUUCCUCUCGGGGACUGCUAUAGAGGUGAUGCAUGGCUGUUGUCAGCUCGUGUCGUGAGAUGUUGGGUUAAGUCCCGCAACGAGCGCAACCCCUAUCCUUAGUUGCCAGCGAGUAAUGUCGGGAACUCUAGGGAGACUGCCUCGGAAAUCGAGGAGGAAGGUGGGGAUGACGUCAAGUUCUCAUGGCCUUUAUGUUCAGGGCUACACACGUGCUACAAUGGGCGGUACAAAGGGAACAACAGCGCGAGCUCGAGCCAAUCCCAAAAAACCGUCUUCAGUUCAGAUUGCAGUUUGCAACUGGAGUGCAUGAAGGUGGAAUCGCUAGUAAUCCCGGAUCAGCAUGCCGGGGUGAAUACGUUCCCUGGCCUUGUUCACACCGCCCGUCACAUCACGAAAGUUGGUUGUACCGGAAGCCGGUGGGCUAACCCGCAAGGGAGGCAACUGUCCAUGGUGUGGUCAGCGAUGGGGUGAAGUCGUAACAAGGUAUC
rnacentral:rRNA from 1 species